GCUUACGUAGCUCAGAGGGUAGAGCGGCAGGUUGAAGUCCUGCGCGUCGUUGGUUCAACCCCAACCGUAAGCACCA
rnacentral:tRNA from 2 species